rnacentral:lncRNA from 7 species
UUUGCUUCGGUGUGCCACGUGAGAGCUGAGCUCGCUGCCUCGCUGCAUGUUUCGGGCUCCCAACGUCUAAGCCUGGCUACAGUUACAUGCACACGUACCGCAGAGGUUUCGAUCUACAAUAAUACGGGCAGGUUUAUUUUAUUUUCUGAAAACAUAUAUAGCGGUGGCGUGUUUGCUGUAGCAUUGCUCCUGUGCUACUGCUGCUGCAGCAGCUACAACUGAG